GGUACGUGCGCCUUAGGUUUAGCUCCGCCGCCAAGGGAGGGGCGAGCUAACCUCCCCUUCUCUGCCUGAUGGAGUCUGUUUUCUGUGCCAUCUUUCGUUUGAGUCUCUCACCAGUUGGAAGAGUCGGGUCACAGCAAUGAGCGAUAGCCUUUGCAUCAUGGAUAUGCACGUAUUUUUCCACAAGCGAAUCUGUGAAAAUUCUGUGAGAAGUUGCGGUUCAGUGACAUGGCGGUGACUCCACCCACCUCCAACAACUUAGUAUGGAAAACUUGAAGUAGGAUUGGUGAGAUGGCUCAGCAGAGACUGAAGACUGGGAUGACGAGCCCGAGGCAAACCUAACCUAUCAGAACUCACAUUCUCCCUUUGUAUGGACUGUCCACUACUGAAAGGCCUACAUAAUUUCCACUCAAACUCCCAAUCCUAUGUUCUGAGCAGCUGGUAGCGGGCUCUGGGAGAUGCGCGGGUCCCUGCAAGAUCCCCUGAGUGGUUGCUGGUUCCAGUGAGGUGCAGUUUCCCAGCAUCAAGCAGCUGAGCUGACUGGUCCCGCCAUGCAGGAUAUUCAUCCAUUCUCGUGGACUUGAUUUGGGAUAGCGUGCACCUGAAUCGGGUGUAGGUAUUCACAGAAAAGUGCAGACAACAGAUGGAGGCACCACUGGGAUACUGAAGGACAACUGUGUUCUGCUGUCUGUGGACCCACCAUGAGAACCCCGGGAGAGGAGCGGUUUGUGUGUUUCCACAGGAUGCAGAUCAUUCUGUCUGGGUCCCCGAGCAACUGGUGCGGACCGUGGAUUCCUCUAUUCAGAGACCUGAGGACGAGACAAGAUCUAGAGAUCCCGUGGACGCGGCGGCGGCGGAGAUGGCAGAUUCCUGAGAGAUUAUCCAGCGCCUGCUUUUGCCCUUUUCCCAGCUUCUUGUCCUUGCUCUGUCUUGACUGUUUUAGCCAAGGCUGCUUGACCCCCUGAGGGGAGACAGCUGCUUCCCCUACCCUGAUUGCAGCGUUGGGUACCCGCGGCGGGAACCUUGCCAGAAAGACAAAAUUACCAUAGCUAUUCAAAUUAAUCUAAAUUCACAAUUGGACGCUGUAGCUAAUCUUUACAAACUGGGUGUGGAUUUUGACCUCUGCUGGUUGCAGGAAAAGAUUUUGCUGCUUUUUCUUGGACCCUGGUUACAAAAUUUGCUAAUUGGCUCUCAUUUAGUUGACUAGUCAAUCCAGGGGCUCCAUUCACUGGUGCUGUAGCCCUACUCAAGGGGCUCUAUUCUGAGCAAACGUUUCAGAUAUUGUGCAAGCACAGUCUCUUCCAGGAAUGCUUUUGUGUAUGCUGGAGCAUCUUCACUUGGCCAGUGGCUUUCAGGUCCGCCAUGGCCUGGCCCUAGUAGGAGUAUCUUUCAGCAUAAAACCGGCUGAACGUGUUUGAGUAUGACUUUAGCCAAAGAUGGGUCUAGACCGCUUGGGCAGGCAUUUCCAACCUAAGACAUGGGAUACAUCUGGACCUGAGGCGUCAUCCUGACAACGGGUCAGGAUUUGGCCUGGAUCCCGGUGGCACCUAAGGCAGAUUACUGUCAUCAUAUUUUAUAUAUUUACGGGGAGACUUGUUGGUACCCAGGUUUCUUCCCCUUUGUUCGUGGCGCUAUGCAGGGCCAUUUUACCUCUGGCUUCCUGGCUUCCCUGCUCUUGCACCGGCCUGAGGGUUUAGCUUAGAAAGAACUUGGCCCUCUUUUGUUAUGGUAAUUCCACCUGCAAGCAAGGAUCCCGCCGGUGGCUAUAUGUCUGCCACUGCAGCUGCUGUCUGGCCUUGGGUGCCAGACACCUGACAUCCUCUUCCCCUGUUCCGGAUGGAAGGGGCUAUUUUCCCUUUGCCCCCUAGUAUAUG